GAUGAACGCUGGCGGCGUGCCUAAUACAUGCAAGUCGAGCGGUAAGGCCCUUCGGGGUACACGAGCGGCGGACGGCAGAGUAACACGUAGGAACGUACCCCAAAGUGAGGGAUAGCCCGCCGAAAGGUGGAUUAAUACCGCAUGUGGUCUUCGGAUUAAAGCAGCAAUGCGCUUUGGGAACGGCCUGCGUAAGAUUAGCUAGUUGGUGAGGUAACGGCUCACCAAGGCGACGAUCUUUAGCUGGUCUGAGAGGAUGAUCAGCCUGACUGGGACUGAGACACGGCCCAGACUCCUACGGGAGGCAGCAGUGGGGAAUUUUGGACAAUGGGGGCAACCCUGAUCCAGCCAUGCCGCGUGCGGGAAGAAGGCCUUCGGGUUGUAAACCGCUUUUGUCGGGGAAGAAAUCUUCUGGGCUAAUACCCUGGGAGGAUGACGGUACCCGAAGAAUAAGCACCGGCUAACUACGUGCCAGCAGCCGCCGCGG
rnacentral:rRNA from 1 species